rnacentral:tRNA from 1 species
CUCACUAUAGUUUAAAUUAUAAAACUUCGACCUGCAAAAUCGAAAAUGGAGAAUUCCUAGUGUGU